UUCAUCCCUUCUACAAGGCGUGUCUUCGUGACCGUCAACAUCUCCAGGAAUCAAACAUUUACUAUGCUUAUAGACAUGGCACUGCACACCCAGUACUGGAGCUGGGAACACAGCGCAGACCCUGCCGUUAUCGCAAGUAAACGCCCGACAACUCGAACAUCUGAGCUGAAAAGAAGUACUGGCCAAGUGACUGAAGAGUAAAAUAGCCGACCCCAUGAAUGUUGCUUGGUGAUACAGUGAGUGGGAGCAACUUUUUCUGUUGCCCAAGACCUCUGCCCAGACCGUACAGAGUAACAGCCUGCAACUACUCUCGCAGAAAACUGAAGAACAAGUCUACAGUAAGUCAUACUUGCUAUCAAUAAAACGGACAUAAAUUGCUUUGGGGUCUUCAGUCAAUAGUGACUGAGUUUUGAAAGGUUAAUUACACAUGAUAAACACCAUUAUCAGCCAAAGGGUGUCAGGCAGAGGACAUCCCCACUGGCAGCAACUCAUACACGCUCAGUGCACAUGGCUUUUUAGGUUACUUCUCAAAUGAGUGAAAAAAGCUCAGUCACAACAUACGCUUGGUCCAAAGAGUCUGAAAUUCUGAGUAGAAAGCAUGCAUUGACAGAAUACAAAAACAUAUAGUAACUUCAGCAAAGCAUUAAAUGACCUGUUUGUGUUCAUUUUCAAAAAGGAUGUAUUUUUGGAAGACCUUUUCUACAGAGAAACACGGAACUGUGUGCUGUUGAUAGUCCGAACACAAAACACAAUACAAUAAUUCAGCUUCCCACAAAUGACCAUUGUUGAAUGUUUAAAAAUGUAUUUCAUCAGCUCCACCACGUAGCUUAUUCAAUCUCAGUAUUUCAACAUCCUCAAAAGUGGUGUAUUACUGACCAAGAAAACAGUCAACACAAUAAAAACAUCUCUUCCUACUAUUAGAAAAUAACUACUUUGUCAUGUUGACUUCACUGUUUCAUCUCAGUGAUUAGAUUUAAGAAAGAGUAAACACUUAUUUGACCACAAACAAACACACCCAGACAGUGUUAUUAUCAAGGAGUUAUUUCUCAUUUGACAUGAAAAUGAAAAGCCACCAAUUUGAUUGCUGCCAUUUGCUCUGUCCACUAUUUCAUCAAAAGAAGCCAGUUAUAAAUAAACCAAAUGUUUUACUGGCAAAAUUCAAUUACCUCUGUCAGCGUCAAGUAAUGAGUAACAGCCAGCGCUCGCUCUCAUUCAAUUUCAGUGUCCUAGGGGAAUGAUGUUUGUCUAAUGUCUUGAUUUUUUUUUUUCCUUUUCUAAUAAUGAUGUUCUUUCUGUGGCCUGCUAAGUGGAGCACAACAUCUGAAUCAAGUUCUUAUAUGGCUAGUGUG